rnacentral:rRNA from 1 species
UGCAGUCGAGCGGAACGAUCCUAGCUUGCUAGGAGGCGUCGAGCGGCGGACGGGUGAGUAAUGCAUAGGAAUCUGCCCGGUAGUGGGGGAUAACUUGAGGAAACUCAAGCUAAUACCGCAUACGCCCUACGGGGGAAAGCAGGGGCUCUUCGGACCUUGCGCUAUCGGAUGAGCUUAUGUCGGAUUAGCUGGUUGGUGAGGUAACGGCUCACCAAGGCGACGAUCCGUAGCUGGUCUGAGAGGAUGAUCAGCCACAUCGGGACUGAGACACGGCCCGAACUCCUACGGGAGGCAGCAGUGGGGAAUAUUGGACAAUGGGGGCAACCCUGAUCCAGCCAUGCCGCGUGUGUGAAGAAGGCCCUCGGGUUGUAAAGCACUUUCAGCGAGGAAGAAUGCUUGUCGGUUAAUACCCGGCAAGGGAGACAUCACUCGCAGAAGAAGCACCGGCUAACUCCGUGCCAGCAGCCGCGGUAAUACGGAGGGUGCGAGCGUUAAUCGGAAUUACUGGGCGUAAAGCGUGCGUAGGCGGCUUGAUAAGCCGGUUGUGAAAGCCCCGGGCUCAACCUGGGAACGGCAUCCGGAACUGUUAGGCUAGAGUGCAGGAGAGGAAGGUAGAAUUCCCGGUGUAGCGGUGAAAUGCGUAGAGAUCGGGAGGAAUACCAGUGGCGAAGGCGGCCUUCUGGACUGACACUGACGCUGAGGUACGAAAGCGUGGGUAGCAAACAGGAUUAGAUACCCUGGUAGUCCACGCCGUAAACGAUGUCGACUAGCCGUUGGGGUCCUCGAGACCUUUGUGGCGCAGUUAACGCACUAAGUCGACCGCCUGGGGAGUACGGCCGCAAGGUUAAAACUCAAAUGAAUUGACGGGGGCCCGCACAAGCGGUGGAGCAUGUGGUUUAAUUCGAUGCAACGCGAAGAACCUUACCUACCCUUGACAUCGUGCGAACUUUCCAGAGAUGGAUUGGUGCCUUCGGGAGCGCACAGACAGGUGCUGCAUGGCUGUCGUCAGCUCGUGUUGUGAAUGUUGGGUUAAGUCCCGUAACGAGCGCACCCUUGUCCUAUUUGCCAGCGAUUCGGUCGGGAACUCUAGGAGACUGCCGGUGACAACGAGAGGUGGGACGACGUCAGUCAUCAUGCCCUUACGGUAGGCUACACACUGCUACAUGGCCGUUACAUGGAUUGCUAAGCGGCGACCGUGGA